rnacentral:rRNA from 1 species
AUUGAACGCUGGCGGCAGGCCUAACACAUGCAAGUCGAACGGUAGCACAGAGAGCUUGCUCUCGGGUGACGAGUGGCGGACGGGUGAGUAAUGUCUGGGAAACUGCCCGAUGGAGGGGGAUAACUACUGGAAACGGUAGCUAAUACCGCAUAACGUCGCAAGACCAAAGUGGGGGACCUUCGGGCCUCACACCAUCGGAUGUGCCCAGAUGGGAUUAGCUAGUAGGUGGGGUAAUGGCUCACCUAGGCGACGAUCCCUAGCUGGUCUGAGAGGAUGACCAGCCACACUGAACUGAGACACGGUCCAGACUCCUACCGGAGGCAGCAGUGGGGAAUAUUGCACAAUGGGCGCAAGCCUGAUGCAGCCAUGCCGCGUGUAUGAAGAAGGCCUUCGGGUUGUAAAGUACUUUCAGCGGGGAGGAAGGCGGUGAAGUUAAUAACUUCACCGAUUGACGUUACCCGCAGAAGAAGCACCGGCUAACUCCGUGCCAGCCGCCGCCGUAA